rnacentral:rRNA from 1 species
CAACUUGAGAGUUUGAUCCUGGCUCAGAACGAACGCUGGCGGCAGGCUUAACACAUGCAAGUCGAGCGCCCACUUCGGUGGGAGCGGCAGACGGGUGAGUAACGCGUGGGAAUCUACCUAGCUCUACGGAACAACCCAGGGAAACUUGGGCUAAUACCGUAUACGUCCUUCGGGAGAAAGAUUUAUCGGAGUUGGAUGAGCCCGCGUUGGAUUAGCUAGUUGGUGGGGUAAUGGCCUACCAAGGCGACGAUCCAUAGCUGGUCUGAGAGGAUGAUCAGCCACAUUGGGACUGAGACACGGCCCAAACUCCUACGGG